rnacentral:lncRNA from 1 species
UAUCUCACGUUUUCUUUCGACGAUAGAAUGAUGGCCAGGCACGAUACCAACUUUUGCAGACUGGUAUUCAUGCUGUCAUUGACGACGGAGAUUUUCGUACAUUUGGAUGAACUGAUGGGAUGGCGUGGAAGUUGAACAAAUUCCGCAAUGGUUCGCAGAAUCCAAUGUCUCUUCCAGCUGAACUCCACCUCAAUUGUACGUCUCUGUCGAUCCAUCGGUCAGUGAUCAGUAGUGAUUGA